rnacentral:rRNA from 1 species
AGCGAACGCUGGCGGCAUGCCUAACACAUGCAAGUCGAACGAGACCUUCGGGUCUAGUGGCGCACGGGUGCGUAACGCGUGGGAACCUGCCCUUAGGUUCGGAAUAACUCCCCGAAAGGGGUGCUAAUACCGGAUAAUGUCUUCGGACCAAAGAUUUAUCGCCUUUGGAUGGGCCCGCGUUGGAUUAGCUAGUUGGUAGGGUAAAAGCCUACCAAGGCGACGAUCCAUAGCUGGUCUGAGAGGAUGAUCGGCCACACUGGGACUGAGACACGGCCCAGACUCCUACGGGAGGCAGCAGUGGGGAAUAUUGGACAAUGGGCGAAAGCCUGAUCCAGCAAUGCCGCGUGAGUGAUGAAGGCCUUAGGGUUGUAAAGCUCUUUUACCCGGGAUGAUAAUGACAGUACCGGGAGAAUAAGCUCCGGCUAACUCCGUG